AACGUAGGAGGCGAGCGUUAUCCGGAUUUACUGGGCGUAAAGCGCGUGCAGGCGGCCCGGCAAGUUGGCUGUGAAAGCCCCCGGCUCAACCGGGGGAGGUCGGUCAAAACUGCCGGUGCUAGAGGAUGGGAGAGGGAGAUGGAAUUCCGGGUGUAGUGGUGAAAUGCGUAGAGAUCCGGAGGAACACCAGUGGCGAAAGCGAUCUUCUGGCCCAUCACUGACGCUCAGACGCGAAAGCUAGGGGAGCGAA
rnacentral:rRNA from 1 species